UACGAAGGGGGGCUAGCGUUGCUCGGAAUCACUGGGCGUAAAGCGCACGUAGGCGGAUCUUUAAGUCAGGGGUGAAAUCCUGGAGCUCAACUCCAGAACUGCCUUUGAUACUGGGGGAUCUCGAGUCCGGGAGAGGUGAGUGGAACUCCGAGUGUAGAGGUGAAAUUCGUAGAUAUUCGGAAGAACACCAGUGGCGAAGGCGGCUCACUGGCCCGGUACUGACGCUGAGGUGCGAAAGCGUGGGGAGCAAACAGG
rnacentral:rRNA from 1 species